UGGGGAAUAUUGGACAAUGGGGGGAACCCUGAUCCAGCCAUGCCGCGUGUGUGAAGAAGGCCUUAUGGUUGUAAAGCACUUUAAGCGAGGAGGAGGGUACUGGUAUUAAUACUACCAGCUACUGGACGUUACUCGCAGAAUAAGCACCGGCUAACUCUGUGCCAGCAGCCGCGGUAAUACAGAGGGUGCAAGCGUUAAUCGGAAUUACUGGGCGUAAAGCGCGCGUAGGUGGUUCGUUAAGUUGAAUGUGAAAGCCCCGGGCUCAACCUGGGAACUGCAUCCAAAACUGGCGAGCUAGAGUAGGGCAGAGGGUGGUGGAAUUUCCUGUGUAGCGGUGAAAGGCGUAGAUAUAGGAAGGAACACCAGUGGCGAAGGCGACCACCUGGGCUCAUACAGACACUGAGGUGCGAAAGCGUAGGGAGCAAACAGG
rnacentral:rRNA from 1 species